GAGGGUAUAGCUCAAUGGCAGAGUGCCUGCUUAGCGCGCACGAGGCCCUGGUUCAAUUCCCAGUACCUCCA
rnacentral:tRNA from 1 species